GCAAGUCGAACGGUAACAGGCUAGUUUGCUAGUGCUGACGAGUGGCGGACGGGUGAGUAACGCGUAGGAAUCUGCCCAGUUGUGGGGGAUAGCCCGGAGAAAUCCGGAUUAACACCGCAUGCGCCCUACGGGGGAAAACAGGGGAUCUUCGGACCUUGUGCAAUUGGAUGAGCCUGCGUUAGAUUAGCUAGUUGGUGGGGUAAGGGCUCACCAAGGCAACGAUCUAUAGCUGGUCUGAGAGGAUGAUC
rnacentral:rRNA from 1 species